rnacentral:rRNA from 1 species
AUGGGGGAAUCUAGAGACAUAACACAAGCUACAAUAUGGAGCAUUCAUUUUCCUGCUAUACAUUAUUUUGCUCUCUUCAUAGGUAGGUGCAUAAAUGGUAAAUAUGAAGCAUGUCAUACGUGUGUCCCUGACCUCAGUAUUCUUAGAAGUGCUGUGUUAGGAGACAAAUCUUAUAAUUUGGGAGCCAUUGUUGCGCGUAGGUUGCCUCACAAUAGAUUUAAUGGAGAUUUCUUUGGUGGUAUUUAUGCAACCCGCUUAGCUGAUUUUCUUGGUGUAACCAUACGUGAUGAUGAUAUUGAACUGCCUCCUACUUAUCUAGACUUUAAUGCUAUGGUUCAUCAUCAGGUUGUCGAGAGGAAUGAACCACCUCUCCAGUACAGACUAAUCUUUGACAGGCUUCACGCCGUCAAUAUUGUUCUUCCUGCCCCUACUCUCUUUGACUUUCAGGAAAAAGGGAGACAUUACAUAACCAGAGAGGAGGUAGAGGAGUAUAGGAGGAGGGCUGAGAUAGCUCGCCUCCAAGCUGCAGCACAUGAUGCAAUGACCGCUGCAUCUCAGUACGACCCCAACUACAACUUUGGAUAUCUGCCAGGCCAUCCGUGA